rnacentral:misc_RNA from 1 species
CAGAAUCAAAAGGUUAUGUUUCGAUUUGAACUAUUUAAUUUUAUUUAACAUUUAUGAGAGCAAUAAAAGUACUUAUUAGAAUUCGAUAGAAAACCAAUACGAUUGCUAUGAAUAGGGUGAACAAUGUAAAAUAGUAAAACUAUACUCUCAGCAUGCCAACAUUUCUGACGCCUGGUCGUCAUGGAUAUAGCGUCAGGUUCUCUCGGACUCGGCCUGAUGCACUGGCAGUUGCCACCAGCCAGUAUUACGGAUUGGCAGGCGGAGGAACCUUGUUCUUCUUAGAGCUUGCUCCUGAUGGCGGGACCUUGAUCGAAGUUCAGAAAUUAGAGUGGAGCGAUGGACUUUUCGAUGUGACUUGGUCAGGCAGCUCGGACAAUACGGCUGCCUGUGGGGCCGGAGAUGGCACAGUGAUUGUUUGGAGGGUCGGUUGUGCAGCUCCUUUGAGAGUUCUCCGGGCGCAUACCAGUGAAGUGUGUUCCGUUGAUUGGCCCAGAGGCCAUUUGCUGAGCGCCAGUUGGGAUACAACCGUCAAACUUUGGGACCCCGAGUCAGAAACGUGUCUCAGCACGUUCACGGGUCAUUCGCAGCUGGUGUACACGGCGGUGUUCUCUCCCCAUUCGCCGGCCACUUUCGCUUCGGUCUCCGGGGACGGACACCUCAAACUAUGGGCCUGCAGCGAGUCCGUGAGGCCUGCUGCUGUCGUCAAGGCUCACGAUGCUGAGGUGCUGUCGUGCGAUUGGAGCAGUACCGAGACGCACGCGCUCGCGACAGCCGGCUCCGACGGGCUCGUCCGGGGCUGGGACCUCAGGAGACUGACCUCGCCGAUGUUCACAUUAAAAGGGUGCGAGUGUGCUGUGCGGCGGGUGCAGUUCUCGCCGCACUCGCCCUCCGUGCUGGCCGCCGUCUCGUACGACUUCACCACGAGGAUCUGGGACCUGAAGCGCGGCUGCGACCCCCUGGAGACGAUCCGGCACCACUCGGAGUUCACGUACGGGCUGGCGUGGAGCCCGCUGCGCCCGCACCAGCUCGCCGACUGCGGCUGGGACUCGCUCGUGCACGUGUUCACGCCGCGCUCGCUCGCGUGAGGGUCGGUGCCACUUAUAUACAGCACGUGCAGUCGCGGCCUACAGGAUAAGACGUCCGGCAACACCAAGCUUCUGGUGCGAAAACAAAAAUGGCUGUGGAAACGAAGUAUUAGUGUGCCAAAAUGAACCGUAUGUGUGAAGAAACUUGACGUAUCAGGGUCGAAAGUCGCUUGGCGAGCGAGCGGUGCGCGUUUUAUAAAAGCUUUACUAUCUAUAGACGUCACUCUGUUCUCGAAUACACUGGUAUUGUACCUACGCGACUAGGCGUCCCCCACGCGUCCCCCGCGCGCCCCCCACGCGUCCCCCAUGCGUCCCCCUAGCGUCCCCCAGACGUCCCCCAUCCACGGACAAGGGGUGGACCUCUAAGGAGUCCAAAUGUCGUUUAUAGAUAUUAAACUUUGCUACCGAUGUGCGAACAGGGAACUUGCUGACUGAAUGUAUAGAUUGUAUUAAGGAUUAUUGUUUGCCUUUCGAGACAAAUGAGUUUACGGUCCGUCUGAGCGUUGAUCAUGGACAUUGUGAAUGCCAUCGGCGUAGUCAAGACGCUGUCUGCAGCUGAGAAAUUUUCAAACCAAGCUCAAUACCGCUCAGGGGAAAUCCUGGAAUGAGUCCUUCGAGAACUCUGCGACGAUAACAGGCGGUGAGGUGGCAGCAACAGGAGACAGCCCCUUGCCUAUUGUUGAUGUCCAUGAGCUCUCAAUCACAUGGACGGUAAGCUCGUUGGCCAUUGAAGGUAAAAAAAGGAAAAAUUGACAAGAUCAGCUCUUUUUUUUCAGCUUCCUUUUUAAACAAAUUAUUAUUAUUAUCAGUUAUCGAAGUGUAUGCUUUAGUUUUUAAAUGAAAGAAAUUUUCUUCUAAAAUAGUGUUAAUAAAUUUUAAUUUUUACGAUAUAUUUUAAAAUGUUCCAUUUAUAGUUCUAUAUUGAAUGUGUACAUAUGUAAAAUGCUUCAUAACGUUAUUGAUGUGACGUGUAUCAUUUAUGUUUAAAAAAUAUAUUCUUAUUCGCAAAGAUCUUUUGUGUAUGAAAAAAAAUCCGUUAUUAUUUUCGUAAAUUGUAAACAAUCUAAAUGUAUAUUUGAAGUCAGUUGUAACGUAAGACAUAUUGAUGAGAGGAGUGAAGUUCUGUGAAUUGAAACUGCCCAAACGUGAGGAAAUACAACAAAGCCGCUGGAUUUGACAUCUAGGUUUCUUCCAAAACGUCCACAGACAAAAUAACCACAAUUUUACUGAUACUUUAUCUCGUUCCAUCCCAUGUCGAUUGAUUUAAUUUCAUUCUGAUUGAUUAAGUUCUCAUAUUAAACAUCUUCAUCUCAUUUUGCUUCAUGUCAAUUUUAUAUACGAGACCGUCCGUGCAAAAGCGGCCUAACCCACAAUUUUUCAUAUUCGCGCUUAUAUAUUGCAAUUAAUUUAAAACAUAAUAAAUGUCGAUGCAAAACCGGCCUAUCCAUAGUCUCACCUAUAGAGAACAGAUGGCUUUAUAAACAUAAUUUUUGCGCGUAUUGUUUUUGCCUACGAAGCAGUCUAAAAGUAAAUUCCAACCUCAUUAUCUCUAUGCUAACUAUGAUAAGCUUAGGACACUUUUGCGCUGACUGCCUCAUAUGAGAAUAUAAGAAGAAAUAACACUUGGCGUAAAGGUCACGUUACCAGGGCAUAAAAAAAAACUAAUAGUAAAUUCCUUUCUAAAUUAAAAAAAAUCUCGAUUAUGUUUGAGAAAGCCUUUGAUUACUACAAAAUUAAUUUAUUGAAUGUAAAAAAAUACUUCUGCACACAGAAAUGUCGGCUUGCGCAUAGAAAUGUCGAAUUACUGUAAAUAUUUCAUCUCAUUUGUAGUUUUCAAUGCAAGUCUUACUUUACUAAGACGAAUCGUGUGUAUUAUGAGUAAAAAUAACUAUUUUCAGUUGAAUGUUGAUAUAUUAUUAAUAAAAGGAAUUAUUUGUAAUUUAAUUACAAUAUGCAUUUAUUUUACUGCGGUAUUGUCAAAUCUAAGGGCUCUAUCUAAGGUGCCUAGUUUCACAAGAUAAAUAUGAAUUGAAUCUUUAUUGAUUUUAUCGCACAAACAUGGAUUACUUGUUUUUUAAAUCAAAAUAUAAAAUAUA